CCUACGGGUGGCAGCAGUGAGGAAUAUUGGUCAAUGGACGCGAGUCUGAACCAGCCAAGCCGCGUGCAGGAAGACGGCCCUAUGGGUUGUAAACCGCUUUUGUCGGGGGGUAAAAGCCGCCACGCGUGGCUUUCCGAGAGUACCCGAAGAAUAAGGAUCGGCUAACUCCGUGCCAGCAGCCGCGGUAAUACGGAGGAUGCGAGCGUUAUCCGGAUUUAUUGGGUUUAAAGGGUGCGCAGGCGGAAGAUAAAGUUAGAGGUAAAAUUGAGAGGCUCAACUUCGUCAUGCCGUUGAAACUGGUCGGCUUGAGUGAAGGAGCGGUAGGCGGAAUGCGUGGUGUAGCGGUGAAAUGCAUAGAGAUCACGCAAAACUCCGAUUGCGAAGGCAGCAUACCGGGCCUCAACUGACGCUGAGGCACGAAAGUGUGGGUAUCGAACAGGAUUAGAUACCCUUGUAGUC
rnacentral:rRNA from 1 species